GGCAGGCCUAACACAUGCAAGUCGAGCGGUAGCGGGCCUGACCACUCUCGAGUGGUUCAGGCGCCGACGAGCGGCGGACGGGUGCGUAACACGUAGGAAUCUGCCCGGUAGUGGGGGAUAGCCCGGAGAAAUUCGGAUUAAUACCGCAUACGCCCUAUGGGGGAAAGCAGGGGAUCCGUUCUUUUAGGAGAGUGGACCUUGCGCUAUCGGAUGAGCCUGCGUCGGAUUAGCUUGUUGGUGGGGUAAAGGCCUACCAAGGCGACGAUCCGUAGCUGGUCUGAGAGGAUGAUCAGCCACACUGGGACUGAGACACGGCCCAGACUCCUACGGGAGGCAGCAGUGGGGAAUAUUGCACAAUGGGCGAAAGCCUGAUGCAGCCAUGCCGCGUGUGUGAAGAAGGCCCUAGGGUUGUAAAGCACUUUCAGUGGGGAGGAAAGGUCGAAGGUUAAUACCCUUUGGCUGUGACGUUACCCACAGAAGAAGCACCGGCUAACUCCGUGCCAGCAGCCGCGGUAAUACGGAGGGUGCGAGCGUUAAUCGGAAUUACUGGGCGUAAAGCGUGCGUAGGCGGCCAUUUAAGUUGGAUGUGAAAGCCCCGGGCUCAACCUGGGAACUGCAUCCAAAACUGGGUGGCUUGAGUGCGAGAGAGGAGUGUGGAAUUUCCUGUGUAGCGGUGAAAUGCGUAGAUAUAGGAAGGAACACCAGUGGCGAAGGCGACACUCUGGCUUGACACUGACGCUGAGGUACGAAAGCGUGGGGAGCAAACAGGAUUAGAUACCCUGGUAGUCCACGCCGUAAACGAUGUCUACUAGUUGUCGGUGGUCUUGUACUGCUGGUAACGCAGCUAACGCGAUAAGUAGACCGCCUGGGGAGUACG
rnacentral:rRNA from 1 species